rnacentral:rRNA from 1 species
CCUACGGGGGGCAGCAGUGGGGAAUAUUGGGCAAUGGGCGCAAGCCUGACCCAGCAACGCCGCGUGAAGGAAGAAGGCUUUCGGGUUGUAAACUUCUUUUCUGAGGGACGAAGAAAGUGACGGUACCUCAGGAAUGAGCCACGGCUAACUACGUGCCAGCAGCCGCGGUAAUACGUGGGUCGCAAGCGUUAUCCGGAUUUAUUGGGUGUAAAGGGCGUGUAGGCGGGAAAGCACGUCAGAUGUGAAAACUCAGGGCUCAACCCUGAGCCUGCAUUUGAAACUGUUUGUCUUGAGUGCUGGAGAGGCAAGCGGAAUUCGGGGUGGAGCGGUGAAAUGCGUAGAUAUACGGAGGAACACCAGUGGCGAAGGCGGAUUGCCGGACAGUAACUGACGCUGAGGCGCGAAAGCGUGGGGAGCAAACAGGAUUAGAUACCCGAGUAGUC